rnacentral:lncRNA from 1 species
GAUAAUUGAUUCUCACCAAGAUCUAAUUUCGAGCAAUCUUUAAGUGCCCUCCCUGGGAAGAUCAUUUUUAUUCAAAGUGAAGUGUUUGAAGGUUGUCUAAAUGCCCCAAAGACCAUGGUAUGUCUCCAAGCAAAUUAUUGUUGCUCAAGUCCAGGACCACAAGCGAUGAACAAUUUCCCAAGCUUAGAGGGAUGGUACCGCCCAACUGGUUUCUAGAAACAUCACGUUCUUCAUGUCUCCCAGGUAGCUGGGAAUG